rnacentral:Y_RNA from 1 species
GGUUGGUCCGAGAGCAGUGGUGUUGAUCACAACCGGUUACAGGUUCCUUUGUUCCUUCUCCAUUCCCACUGCUUCACUUGACCAGCCUUUA